UGGGGAAUAUUGGACAAUGGGCGCAAGCCUGAUCCAGCCAUGCCGCGUGAGUGAUGAAGGCCCUAGGGUUGUAAAGCUCUUUCACCGGUGAAGAUAAUGACGGUAACCGGAGAAGAAGCCCCGGCUAACUUCGUGCCAGCAGCCGCGGUAAUACGAAGGGGGCUAGCGUUGUUCGGAUUUACUGGGCGUAAAGCGCACGUAGGCGGACUUUUAAGUCAGGGGUGAAAUCCCGGGGCUCAACCCCGGAACUGCCUUUGAUACUGGAAGUCUUGAGUAUGGUAGAGGUGAGUGGAAUUCCGAGUGUAGAGGUGAAAUUCGUAGAUAUUCGGAGGAACACCAGUGGCGAAGGCGGCUCACUGGACCAUUACUGACGCUGAGGUGCGAAAGCGCGGGGAGCAAACAGG
rnacentral:rRNA from 1 species